rnacentral:tRNA from 1 species
GGUGAGAUGGCCGAGUGGCUUAAGGUACUCCCCUGCUAAGGGAGAGUAGGUUAACCCCUACCGAGGGUUCGAAUCCCUCUCUCACCGCCA